GGAGGCGGCUCGUUUAUUCGGCUCCAGUACCACGCCGCACCGUCUCCUCUAGAACCCUCUCGUCCCCCGGUCUCCGCGUGCGGCGGCGCGAUUCCUCCCUCCGGCUCCGAGAGAUCGUUCUGGAGUCAGAUCCGGACCGCGGAUUCGAGUUUGCGCCCGCGCUCGUCGGCUCCAGGGACUCCUACUCGAUAUGGGGAACACUGCAUCUGUGAAAACUGAGGAGCAACCUGCCACAGCUCCUGCACCUGAGACGAAGCCGAAAAAGAAGAUAUGUUGCGCUUGCCCAGAUACGAAGAAGCUGAGAGAUGACUGCAUCGUGCAGAAUGGCGAGGAUGCCUGCGGAAAGUUCAUCGAAGCCCACCUGCAAUGCCUGAGAGCUGAAGGGUUCAAUGUCUGACGCCUGGCUCUGUCGUGGCAACUUCACACCUGUUUCUGCGAUAGUCCGAUUUUGAUCAUAAACAGUAUGAUGGAUGAGAACUUUUGGUAGAGUGAUAGGAAGAACUCACUGUUUCAUUUCUAGAGUGCAAAAAAGAAUGCCGCUGAACAUGGCAGUUUGCAAGGCAUCCUGCACCAUACAUAUCUGCAAUUCUUGAUUAUACUUUUAUGGAACAUUGUAUAUGAGAAUUGCUUGUUUGGGUCCACUGGCUGGAGAUCCAUCACCACGUAUGGAACAAUUGUUGCCAGUUUUGCUACUAGCUAGAGUUUCCGAUCACAUGUUCCAUUGAUAUAUCAAUGAAGACGAUAUUACACUCU